rnacentral:rRNA from 1 species
CAGCCGCCGCGGGAAUACGUAGGGUGCGAGCGUUAAUCGGAAUUACUGGGCGUAAAGCGUGCGCAGGCGGUUGUGUAAGACAGGUGUGAAAUCCCCGGGCUUAACCUGGGAACUGCGCUUGUGACUGCACAGCUAGAGUAUGGCAGAGGGGGGUGGAAUUCCACGUGUAGCAGUGAAAUGCGUAGAGAUGUGGAGGAACACCGAUGGCGAAGGCAGCCCCCUGGGCCAAUACAGACGCUCAUGCACGAAAGCGUGGGGAGCAAACAGGAUUAGAUACCCGCGUAGUCCCUGUCUCUUAUAC